rnacentral:lncRNA from 1 species
UCCCGCUCCCGGUGCCGGCCCCGCGCCCGCCGCCACUUUCGGUUUCUCCCGCUCCGCCCCGGUGCGUGGCGGGGAGGCCCGGAGCCAGGGCCCGCCCGCGGCUGAAGCUGCGGCCGCCAUCUUGGAAGCGGGCACCGGGUGCCUUUGGCUCACGCUGUUCCGCCAUCUUGGGUGAGGGCGAUGCGCCUGGGGGAGGCCAUUUUGGAGAGGGGCGCGGCCCGGCCCGGUGACGCCCGCCCGGCCGGGUGGCGGCCAUGUUGGGUGCGGGCAGGCUGCGAGGGGGACCCCGCGGCCGCCAUUUUGAGAGGGGCGCGGGGGGGGGGGGGGGGGGGGGGGGCCCCCGGGGCGGCCCUUUGGGGGGGGGGGGGGGGGGGGGGGGGGGCGUCUGCAGCGCCUCCGUGCUGCCAAGAAACAGAGCCCAAAGUGGCCUGAAACCCCAAAAACACAGUCACAAAACCCCAGAGUCACAGAAUCCCAAAAUCAUGGAACCCCAGAGUCACAAAAUCAUGGAAUCCCACAGUCACAGAGUCACAAAAUCGCAGAAUCCCGAAUCCCAAAAUUCCAGAACCCCAAAAUUCCAGAACCUCAGAGCCACCCAGGUUGGAGGAGACCCCAAAAUCCCCCAGUCCAGCCUCUGACCCGACCCUACCCAGCCCUGCACUGCCCCACAUCACCGAGCUCUGCAUCUAAAUGUCUCCUAAAUACCUCACCCGCCUCCCCGGGCAGCCCGUCCCAGUGCCCCACAACCCUUCCAGUAAUGAAUUUCUUCCCAAUAUCCAACCCAAACCUCCCCUGGUGCAAUUUCAGCCCAUUCCGUGAGAAAUGAAGUUGUGUUUUUGUAGUAGAGAACCAAAUUUCUGCAUUCCGGGGUGGUUGUGUAGUCAUAACGAGGAGAAACGCUACGUGACAUCGGGGGGCAUGGGGGGCAGCAGGAUGGGCAGCGAGGGGCCGGACCUGUACGAGAACCUCCAGAUCCGCUACCCCCGUGGUGAGCACCCCGACCCCACGGCUCCUCCGUGGGGCUGGGACCCCCGGGGUGCAGGUCCUGGGGGUCCCGCUCUGCCCCCGCUGAGGGUCCCUUUGCCGUCUCUCCACAGCUCUGGAUUUGGGGGCACGGCCGCCCCGAUCCCGCCGGGUUUUGGGCACUCUGCUGGCCGUGGGCUUGGUGACCCUCCUGGCCCUGGGGGCUGCCCUGGCGGCCGUGGCCACCCUGCGCGCACGGGACCGCGCGGAGCUGCGGGUGGCACGGGCAGAGCUGGAGGUGCUGGGACCCCUGCCCAGCCCCGAGGGUGAGUGUGGCUGGUGGCAGGGGGGGCGCGGGCAGGGCUGUGCCAGGCUCCUGUCCCUGCUGUCCCCCCCCCAGGCACACGGAGCCCCGGUGACAGCCCCGAGGUGGCACAGAGGCGCAGGGACGCUUUGGGUAACGUGGAGAUGUGGGGACGUGGGGACAGACCCCAUGGGGUCGGGGCAGGGCUGUGCCCCCCGUGUGCCCCCCGUGCGCCCCCCGGCCC